UUUCUUUAGAUAUAUUUUAAAGGUAAUACCUGCUCAAUGAAUAUUAAAUUGCCGCAGUAUUAUGACUGUGCUAAGGUAGCAUAAUAAUUUGUCUUUUAAAUGGGGACUGGAAUGAAAGGUUUUAUGGGGGUGUGCUAAUGAUUUAAUGAAUCUUUGAAGUUAAGGUUUGAGUUAAAAUUCUUAAAUUUAUUUGAGGGACGAGAAGACCCUGUGGAUCUUUAUUUUGUUUAUAAUAAAUUAUUAUAAAUGUUUUAUUAUCUUAAAAAUUUGAUUGGGACGAUUAUUAUUUUAACAUAAUUUUAAGAAUUUAUUUUGAUCCUUGUGAAGGAAUUAAGAUUAAGUUACCCCAGGGAUAACAGCGUUAUAUUAUUGGAUAGUUCAUAUUGAUAAUAAUGUUUGCGACCUCGAUGUUGAAUUAAAAUUUCUUUUUAAAGCAGAAGUUAAAUUAGUAAGUCUGUUCGACUUUUAAAAUUUU
rnacentral:rRNA from 1 species